GACUGUAUUGUUCAAAACCUGUAGCCCUCAUCGAACAGAAUGUCGAAGUCUCCCAGAUGUGAAAUUACAGCUAUAUAGGUUACUCACUGCUCCCCAACUCCUUGGGUAAUUGGGAAGUCAGGACCUGAAAUCUGUGACUACUGAUGAGCAGCGAUUCAUCUGGCGUCCAGCAGGGGGCAGCAGGCAAAAAGUCAACAAUUGUGAGCGUCCUGCACCGUGGGCAAGCGGCCUGGAGGUGGUGCCCAAAAGCCCCUUGGCUGUGCUGUUCCUGCCGCAGGUGCGUCCCUCCUGAAGAGCACACCCUUGGUUCCUUUCCUUGCAACCUGAGGCUCCUGACUGGGCGCUGAUGCCUGAGGAGGGAAAUAGCAGCAGAGAAGCUCUCGUUUUCCAGGAUGUUCUCAGGCGGGUGAUUCUUCACUGUCUCACUUCAUAUUUUAGCCAGAUUUACUUGACAAAAGUAUCUAUCAAUGAAGGGUAUAAUGGGUGGACAUCAGGUCAGGCUAUGAAGUUGUUAUGGAAUCAGGACUGUUUCAGGGAAAAAUCCUGACAGACUCCAAGGGCCUUUCACCCUGUGUAGCCUUCAGU